UCUUUACAGGCAGUGUUUACAACCAUUUCAAAUUGAUUGGGUCCAUUCCCUGAUUAAUUUCAUCAACUACUCUAAAUGGACAUCUAUUAAGCUCUUGAAGUGCCAUCAAGUAUAGCAUGACGGAAACACUUCUUUCACCUCCACUUUGAUGAUGAGGAGUCAAUUCAUGCAUCUCAUCGCUGCUUAUCCAGUGGACAACAGUUAGUGACCUCUGUGAAACAUUACCCUCAUUAAAAACUGAACACUAAUCUAAGUGCUGUGGAUAUAUUGGUCCAUUUCAUCUUAGAACAACCCUACAAGUGCCUGCCUCUCCACCAGACACUGAGCUCUCAAGGCAAGGACUACUGUAUUCUCAGCACUGAUCAUACACAGCCUGGUCCAUUUCAGACUUCAGUAAGUUUGUGCAAAAUAUUUAAGGGUCAUUGAUUUGUUUUGUCCUAAUUUUAAUUCAGUUUUUUCAUCCAGUUAAAGCUUUG